GUGUCAGCCGCCGCGGUAAAACGUAGGACACGAGCGUUAUCCGGAGUUACUGGGCGUAAAGGGCGUGCAGGCGGCAUGGUAAGUCUGAUGUGAAAGCUCCCGGCUCAACCGGGAGAGGACAUUGGAGACUGCCAAGCUCGAGGCAGAUAGAGGGAUGUAGAAUUCCGGGUGUAGUGGUGAAAUGCGUAGAGAUCCGGAGGAAUACCAGAGGCGAAGGCGGCAUCCUGGGUCUGACCUGACGCUGAGACGCGACAGCAUGGGGAGCGAACGGGAUUAGAUACCCUGGUAGUCC
rnacentral:rRNA from 1 species